rnacentral:lncRNA from 1 species
GUUCACAAUGAUUUUAAGACUAUAUACGUAUAAAGUCAAAAAUGAUUUUAAGACUUUGUACAGAGUCUAGAAUGAUGUUAAGACUUUGUAUAAAGUCUAAAUGAACCACAUAUAUUUAGAGCGAGUAAUUGGUUGUAAAUGAAGAGAAAAAAAAACAUGCACUUAAUAGGCUUAUAUUUGAUUAAUUUGAAUAUUUCGAAUCAAAGACCGUGAGUGGUUAGCACACACUCACGCCCUAAAUGAUAUGUAUACAUAUAUGUCUAUUUAGAGGCGAAAUUAGGAUCUGAAGUUCAUGAAUUAUAUAUUGAAGCUUAUGGGUUCUGAAAUUUAUUAUAUCUCCACGUUCAGUGGAUUUUUCAACUAAUACAUAGGGUACAGACCAAAGUUGCUGGUACGUUCCAUGCUAGCUCCGUCCCGAUUGUCGUCCGUGUCCAAAAUCAUAGCCGUUGGUGGGCGCUCUUUGAUACAAGAAGUCAUACAAUUGAUACUUUCAACAGCGCAAUUCUGAGAGCAUUUAUCUGAUGUUGAGGUACAUUUAACAACACAAGCAACUACUUUUUUGCCACAAGAGACCACACAUGGCCCUAUAGCUGUUUCACCUUGAGCAUGGAUUUUGGUAGAUGCAAAAAUCAGCAUAAGCAAAGCUAAAACAUGAAUUGGUGAAGUUGUUGCAAGAAAAGCCAUAGUGGAAUCAGCGAGACCAAAAUCCGUUGCCUUACCACUUGGUUCUUCUACGAUGAUAUAAUAUCUUUUCAAGAAAAUGAUACGAGAACAUAAACUUGACGUGACAUUAUAUAGGUGGGGGUUGGGGUGGGCGGGGUGUGGAUGUAGGGCAAAGUCUCGAGUUUUCUGUUAUGGACAACUUUGUUCAUACAAAAGAUGUGAACUAAUCUUGUUGGAAUAAAGAAGGCAGAAUUACAAACGGCAAUCCCAUUUGAAUAUUAAUUCGUGAGGGUUACUCACCAUUACGUAUAAAGGGGGUUGAACUAUAUAUUAUUAUCUUUUGGACGUUGUAUAUUGUAAUUUGACCAAUUUUAACAGUGGCAAAGAUCAUUUUUUGCUUGCGGCUGAUAAUAUUUGUAUUCGGUAGCUGAAAAAGUCUAUAAAAUUUAUAUAUUUUCUUGCAUAUAACAUACAUAAAUACAUAUACAUAUAAAAUAUAUAUAUAUUUUCGGCUAUUAUGUUGAGAGCAACUAUACAAUAUCAUUUUCCCUUUCAAGGAACUUUAACUUUUGUCGGCCUGGAAUUGGUGCAUCGUUUUCUUGGCCCACAUUAUGAUUUAAAACUCUGGCCCGAACAAUGGCGUAUACAGUAUUUUGCACAAAAGAUAUUAUUAACAUAUUGUUAUGCUAAAAUCCUACAAGUUGAGACUUCUAUGAUUCAGAAAGUUUAGAAACGUCACCUAAAAGUUAUGUUGUAUGUUUUGUUGAUACUCCUGAAGGGCUAAGUAAAAUUAAUCGUAGACAAAAUGAGAAAUUUUUUAAUCCUGAUCAUUUCUCUUUUUACUAAAGAAAAUGAGUCUUAGAUUCAAAUAUGUGAAGUUGAAGUACUUUUUGCUAAAGGGAAAAAUAGCACAAAAAUCAUUAUGACAUUAAGUACAUAGGUAUAAAGUACUUUGACUAAAUAAAAAAGAAAAAUUGACAUUCAAUUUACAAUUAUACAGUAAGAAUAUUAAAUAGUGCAAUACUUUAUAUACCCAAAGAUAUUUUUAGACCGCCGGUGCACUAAGCUUCCGCAAUGUGCGGGGUUCAAGGAAGGGUCAAACCACAAGGGUCUAUCGUAUGCAGUCUUACCCUACAUUUCUGCAAUAGUCUGUUUAUUAUAGGGAAAUUACCAGCUAUGUCCAUUUAUAAGUAGCUCAUUACAAAAAUUGGUCAAUUGAUAAAAUAUUGUUAAUAUUAGCCAAAUUAGCCAAUUAGCUAUUUGUAGAAAAAACAUAUCAAUUUUUUGCUUUGUUUUGAGUGGGUGUUAUUAGAAUAGAUUGGACACAACUUAAGGAACUUGAUUCUCAGUUUUGGGAUGAUUUGGUGAAGUUUUGAGGUGGUUUGAACUGAAAAUUCGAAGUAAAAGCUGAACAUGAAAAAAAAUGAUGUGUAUCACACUAUGUAUCAUAUAUGUAUCAUAUUUAUAUCAAUUGUGUAUCACAUGUACAUCCAUGUAUACCUAUGUGUGAGAUACAUGCGUGAUACAUGUGUCGCAGAAGACUUUUUUGAACUCGAUUUAAUUACAAAUUUUGAUACAAAACCAGUCCAAAUCCCCUCCAAUCUUCCUCAAAUUUUGUAUAUUGACUUAUCUAUAUAUUUUCAACGAAUUUCAACUAUACCCAUUAAAAAGUUCCUUUUUUGUUUAGAUUUUUGAAAUAUUGUAUAAAUUUUUAUAUUUCAUCACCUUAUUUGCUACCCCGACCAUGAAAUUUCUUUUCCGUCUUGUAUCUAAUGUUGCUAAUCAUGCUUAAAAAUAUGGAAGGUGAUUUUUGUAUGUGAUUCUUUGAUAGAAAGAACCCUAUUAUUUGGGUUUUCAAUUUUUGUUAGCUAGUUUUGGUAAGUGUAUGACUAAUGGCUAGAGGUUGGUAAGUUGAGAUUUAUUUGGGAUAUUUGUGUAAGUUUCCCUUUAUUAUACUUGAAUGUAUGGGGGAAGACGAAGAGUUCAAAGCUACAUGAUACUAACAUCUGUAGGCAGGGGCGGAGCCAAGUGGUGAGAAGUGGGUUCAACUGAACCCGCUUCGUCAAAAAAUAAUACUGCGUAUAUGUAUAAAUUAUGGCUAAACCAAGGUAAAUUUUGUAUAGAAAUUAUUUUUGAACCCGCUUAUACGGCUUAUACCGCUUACGUUAGUUAUGGACUUGUCCGACUGAACCGGCUUGCACAAAAUCCUGGGUCCGCCGCUGUCUGUAGGCCCAUCUCAUAUCGGGCCUACAUGGACCAUGUUGGGACCAUCAUUGUUGGCAUUUCGAUACAUCAUUGUUGGCUAUGGAAGAAAUAAAGAGGAUGAUAUUGUGUAAUAUGGUUGCAGGAGGGGAUACACAAUCAUUGGUGAAGCAGCAGUUGUAGAUAGUGCCCCUGCAGUCGUUCAAGCUAGAAAUGAGGAUUACCAGGUGAAAUUCCCAAAGGUUAAUGGGGAAGGAAUGAAGGAUUGGUUGUAUAAAUGUUUUUUUUUUUAUUUUUUUUUUUGGUUGUAUAAAUGUGAAUAAUUCUUCAAUGUUUUUUUUUUUUUUUUUUUUUUUUGGUUUCCGGGGGUCGCUUUUGCAACCCCCCUAGCGAGCUGUACCUACCGGGUCCCGCUGUUUCAAGGCAGGUCCACCACGGUUAGUUCCACGGGGCCCUGGAGACGCGGCCGGUUUGUCAUGCCUCCAGUGGCCCUGCUGGGGCUCGAACCGGCGACCUGAAGGACUUUGUCCUCGAGCCUUUACCAGCCGAGUUACCCCUCAGGGUUAAUAAUUCUUCUAUGUUGAUGAAACAUAUGAAAGGUCUAAGGUGAAAUUAGCUUCUUGCAAGCUUGAAGGCAAGGCCUACAAUGACAUCGAUCUUUCAUGAAGCAUCAGAUAACAAGAGAGUAGCCUAGGUGGAGUGGAUAUGUUAGAAGCCUAUAUUCUAGGUAUGGAUCUGAAUUGUUUGAUGAUCCCGUGGGUGACUUGAAGGAUCUGAGGCAGGUGAGUUCUGUUCAAGAAUAUAUUGAUCUCUUUGAUGAACUACUUACUAGAGUAGAACUAUCUGAAGACUGUGGUUAGUUAUUUCAUUAGAGGGUUGAAACUUGAGAUUGGGUUGCCCGUGAAAAUGUUGGGCCCUAGAACUCUAGCUAAAGCCAUUAGCCUGGCCAGAAUACAGGGGCAACUUUGGUUGUGUAGAAGAGGUUUUCACCUCUGGUCCUAUAUUGCCCACUCAAGAAAUAUUCCUAGAUUUUCAGAUUCUUUCACUCAAAAUACCUCCUCUACAAAAUCUCAGUUACCUUCCAAAACUCACUAUCCUCCUGCUGGAAAUUCCAAACCAAUAUACAAGAACCCAAAAAUACUAACUCCUGUAGAAAUGGAGGAAAGAAGGAGAAGGGUUUUGUGUUUUAACUGUUAUGAGUAAUAUACUUUUGGGCAUUUGUGUAAGAAGAAAAGACAACUAUUUUAUAUGGAAAUGGAUGAGUCACAAGAACCAGUGGAAUUGGAGGAGAAUGUGAUGUUAGACGCAGUUGAUUUCUUAACCAUAAUGGCUCAAGGAUUAGAAACAGAUGAGGAUGGUUCCAUUUUGCCCAAUGUUUCAAUGCAUGCUAUAAGUGGUAUCCAUGACUUCAGAACUACGAGGGUGAAAGUUUCUAUUAAAAGCAAGGUUGUUUAGGUCCUCAUUGAUACUGGAAGCACACGCAAUUUCUUGGAUAUCAACAUUGCCAAGAAGCUUGGGUGUAUGAUGACUGCUAUUGCUCCCAUCAAUGUUUCUGUAGCUGAUGGCAGCAAGGUAUUAUAUUUGCAAGAAUCUAGAGUGGAAGAUGCAAGGUGUGAGUUUCAGCUCUGACAUUCUAAUAUUACCUAUUGAAGGACGUGGUAUAGUUCUUGGUAUUUAGUGGUUUAUCACCUUAGGAGACGUCAUAUGGAACUUCAAGAAGCUCAAGAUAGAGUUCCAUUUCAAUGGCCAGAAAGUGUCUCUCAAAGGAAUUCAACCUGCUAUAAAACUAAUUGCUUCAGAUAGGAUGGACAAGCUGUUGGCCAAGCUUGAUGAGCUUUGCAUGAUUUCAAUGGGCUUACUUGUGCAAGAGGAGCAAUCAGUGGGGCUAGUUUAUGUGCUUUGGGAGGAGAAACCAAUGAAGUUGGAGAGACUCAAGAAAUACGGAUAGUGCUUGACAAGUACAAUGACAUGUUUGAGACACCUACUGAGUUGCCACCCUCUAGGAGCCAUGAUCACAAGAUUACAUUGAAAGAAGGAACUUCACCCGUGAACAUCAGACCUUAUAGAUAUCCUGCAAUUCAAAGAUGAAAUAGAGAAGAUGGUAGAUAAGACGUUGGCCACAGGAGUUAUCAGAAGCAAUACCAGUCCAUACUCUUCACCCAUUGUUAUGGUGAAGAAAACAGAUGGUACCUGGGGACUAUGUGUGGAUUAUAGGGAGCUAAACAGUUGCACAGUAAAGGAUAAGUUUCCUAUUCCAGUAAUUGAGGAACUACUAGAUGAACUGCAUGGUGCAAGGUAUUUUUCUAAGCUAGAGCUCCAAAUAAGUUUUUAUAAUAGUCAAAAGCACCUUAAAACCACGAAUAAGUUGGAGAUGAGGGUGAUGAGUUGAGAUCCUUUAAGGCGGGGGCACGGGGUUAUGGUCUCAGAUCUGGCUAUCAUCAAAUUAGAAUGUUUGAAGUUGAUAUUCCUAAAACUGCAUUUAGAAUACAUCAUGGUCACUAUGAGUUUUUGGUCAUGCCAUUUGGCCUGACCAAUGCCCCCUCCACCUUUCAAAGUCUGAUGAAUCAAAUCUUCAUCACUCACCUUAGAAAGUUCAUUCUGAUUUUCUUUGAUGAUAUACUCAUCUAUAGUUUUUCUUGGCUUGAGCAUCUGAAGCACUUAGAGAUCACCUUUGAGAUCUUAAAGGCCAAUGUAUUGUAUAUAAAGAAGAGUAAAUGUGACUUUAAGAGUAACAAAGAUAGACUACUUGGGACAUGUUAUCUCUUAAGAAGGUGUAUCUAUGGAUAAGCUUAAGGUAGAAGCUAUCCUAGAUUGGCCUCAACCUACAAUUGUUAAAGGACUUAGAGGGUUCUUUGGCCUAACUGGAUACUAUAGGAGGUUCAUUCAAGGUUAUGGGGCAAUUGCUAGACCCCUUUCAUGAUCCGGUAAAAAAAGGGAAUUUUCAAUGGACUCAAGAGGCUUAUGUAGCUUUUGAAAAACUGAAGGUAGCAUUAACUCCUGCCCCUAUGCUGGCCUUUCCUGACUUUUCAAAAUAAUUCACUGUAGAGACUGAUGCAUCUGGGAUGGGAUUGGAGCUGUCCUAACCCAAGAUAACAGAUCUAUAUCUUUUUUCAGUAAGGGACUAUCAGCUAAAACCAAGGCACUAUCUGUUUAUGAGAGGGAACUGCUAGCUUUGGUCACUGCUGUACAGAGAUAGAGACUAUACUUGUUGGGAAGGCAUUUCAACAUAAAAAUUGAUCACCACAGCCUCAAGUACUUACUUGAGUAGAGGAUCACCACACCUAGUCAACAAAAAUGGUGGUCAAACUACUAGGUUAUGACUACACAAUGUUGUAUAAGAAAAGAAAGGAAAAUCUAGCUGCUAAUGCACUUUCUAGGAAGGAGGAUAUGAUACAUAUGUUCAGCAUCUCAGGAGUUCAAUCUACUUUACUCGAGGAGGUCACACAAUCUUGAACAACUGAUCCAUAACUACUGAAGCUUAUUUGAAAGAUUGAGUCAUCUGUGAGUCCCAAACUUUACUACCUCUAUCAGUCUUGCAUCUUCAGCAGAAAAGGAAAACUGAUGGUUGGGCCUGAUAAUUCUUUGAGGAAGAAGCUGAUUGCUUAUUUUCAUGAGAGUUCAAUAGGUGGCCACUCAGGAAUUAGUGCUAUAUUGCAUAGGUUGAAGCAAGAAUUCUAUUGGAAAAGGAUAAAACAUGAUGUUUAUUCGUUUGUCGGGGGGCGUGACACAUGCCAAAGAUGUAAGGUUGAAAUGUAGCUUAUCCAAGACUGCUGCAACCCCUCCUAAUCCCCGACAAGGACUGGCAGGACAUAUCAAUAGAAUUCAUUAAGGGGUUACCAAAAACUAAUGGCAAGGAAGCUCUCUAUGUAGUUAUGGACAGAUUGAGCAAAGCAGCUCACUUCUUGGACCUUAAACACCCCUACACUGCAUUAGAUGUUGCUCAAUUAUUCAUGUAUUGCAUCUUUAAACUGCAUGAAAUGCCUAAAUCUAUAGUUUCUGACAGAGAUCCAAUCUUCAUUAGUAAAUCUUGGAAGGAACUCUUCAAAUUGCAGAAGGUCUCACUCCUCACUUUUACUGCCUAUCAUCCACAUACAGAUGGCCAAACUGAGAUUGUUAAUAGGUCUUUCGAGUAUUAUUUGAGGUGUAUGACAUUUGAUAAGCCUAAGGAUUGGCCUUACUGGCCUACCACUUGUUGAAUGGUGGUACACCACAUCUUACCACUCUUCCAUUCACAUGAUACCCUAUAAAGUGGUUUAUGGCCAGAAAUCACCUCCCUUGUUACCUUACUUGCCUUUCGAUUCUCAACUAGAUAUGGUGGAUAGAAUCCUCCAAGCAAGUGAAGCUACUAUCAGGAGUUUUAAAUUCCACUUGGGACAAGCUCAAAAUAGGAUGAAAGUUCAAGCUGAUAAUCACAAGACUUUUUCAGUUGGCAAUUAGGUUUAUGUCAAGCUGCAAUCUUAUAGACAAUUAUCACUUAAAGAUCACUCCUACCAGAAGCUAUCAGCUAAAUAUUUUGGGCCCUUCCAGAUUACUGUUAGGGUUGGGUCAGUGGCCUACACAUUGGAUUUACCUGCAGGCACUAAAAUACACCCUACCUUCCAUAUUUUCCAACUCAAGAAGGAGAUGGGAUCUUAUGUUGCUUCUGUGAUACUCCCAACUAUCCACCCAGAUUAAAGUCAUUUCAUUUUGACACGAGUAAAUCCUUGGUAGAAGAUUAGUGAAGAAGAAAGGCAGGGCUACAACUCAAGUCUUAGUCCAAUGGUUGAAUGCAGCUCCUGAAGAUAGCUCUUGGAUAUGAUCCUUUUAGCUCUUUUAGCUUUCUUUCCAUAUUUGGUUGUAUACCUAGUCGAUUAGUUAGUUGAAUUAGUAAAGAAUUAGUUAUUGAGAUGAUCAGUUAAUUAGAAGGUCGUUGGGAACACUCAAGUUCUUUCCAUUUUAGUCUUUGAAAUUUGUGAGCUGCAGCAUAUUUGAUUGGCUUGAGGCAAGAGUUCAAAGUUCAAACACGCAAGCUAACACCAUUAUAACAAAGCCUCUCAAAUAUUGAGGAGAACAGAGUUACUGGGGUAGGAAAGGUUCACCUAUAUACAGCUCCAAAAGACACCUAUUAGAAAUAAACUUCUAUACCUGUGAAUACAAGAUCUCCUCUACAAAGAAACUACCUAAUAUACAUCUAUUGACAACUAAUAAUUCCAAAAUAAGUUCCGUAAAUUGCCGCACACUCGUCUAAUCCCCCAUCUCAAGGUGGAGCAUGAGGAUUAAGAAUGCCCAACAUGCCUAGAAGAAACUGAAAUUGGUCUUGCCCAAAGCUUUAGUGAAUAUAUUAGCAAGUUGUAGAGAAGACAUUACAUGAGUUUUUUCAAUGUUCCUAUUUUGUAUGUCCUCAUAAAUAAAAUGACAAUCAAAAUAUGCUUAGUACGCUCAUAUGAUAUAUCGGAUUUGUUGCUAUGUGCAAAGUGGAUUGACUAUCACAGUACAAAUUGUCAUGUCCCUAAUUUUUUCACCUUCGGGAGUCGUGAUGGAGCAUACUCGUGAAAGCUAGGCAAGCCAAUUAUUAGGGUUCUGUACAUUUAACAUUCAACCCCAAACAGAUAUAAGCCAAAAACUAAAGGUAAACAGAUUAUAAAUGCGGAAGAAUUAUAACAUGAUCAAAUAAUCUAAUACAGGUCUACCCUCAGAUCUGGUGUCACAACUUCACGAACAUGUACGAGUUACUACAAAUAUUGGUCUGAAAAGAAAGUACAACUGUUCUCGGAAAGAAAAGAGACAGCAGAAAGCUAAAACAGGAAAGAGGAACUUCAGGCUCUGUGGAUGCCAGUAGAUCUAUCUUAGUCUCCCUGGAUUGAAGGCAGCUACCUUAGCUACUCACCGGGUCCGGUACCGAAAUCUACAUAAAAUAGUACAGAGUGUAGUAUCAGUACAACCGACCCCAUGUACUGAGUAAGUGUCGAGCCUAACCUCAGGUAAGUAGUGACGAGGCUAGGACAUGACUAUCAAAUAAACCUGUGCAGUUAAAUCAUAUACAGACAGAAUCAUAAUAACAAGAAUCAACAGAAUAAAGUGGGAAGGGGAUAUGCUGUGGGAAAUAACAGAUUCUAACAAUAAGCCAGUAAAGAAGCAUUAAUAACGAAGCGUAAUGAACAUCAUAUUUAAACCAACAAGAUAAUGAAACAGUAACACGUACACGGCAUCACCCUUCGUGCUUUUACUCUCAUUCUCACCAUAUGAAACAACAAAGACGGCAUGGCAUCACCCUUCGUGCAUUACCUCACAUAAUCAUGGCACGACAUCACCCUUCGUGCAUUAUUCCUCACAAUAUCGGCAUGGCAUCACCCUUCGUGCAUUAACACUCAUAAUAUCGGUAUGACAUCACCCUACGUGCAUUACACUCACUCACCAUAUCAUGCACGGCAUCACCCUUCGUGCUUUACACUUUAUUUCACCCAAAUAAUAGAAACAAUAUAUCCCGGCAAGAGAGUCAACAAUAUCAACAAUAACAUCCAGGGCAAGGAAAUCAACAAUAUCAACAAUAACAUCCCGGCAAGGGAUUCAACUAUAACCAAUCUCGUUUUCAACAAUUACUUUACAAAAUUGAAACUUAACUUGUGUCAAUUCUCAACAAUACUCAAUAACCAAGAAACUUUCAUAAGCUUUGUUCAACAUUAAUAAUCACCAAUUUGAGCAUGAUCGAUACAUAAUAGAGUCACAACAAUCAUGAUAUAAGACUCACGGGCAUGCUUGACACCAACGUAUAGAUACUUGUCACCAUACCUAUAUGUCGUACUCGAUACAAACACAUAGCAAAUAGACCACAACUCAUAUUCCUUCAAGCUAAGGUUAGGCCAAACACUUACCUCGAUUCCACAGACCUAUUAAGCCUCAACUACCACUUUACCCCUCGGUUCCACUUCCAAUUCGCUUGUAUCUAGUCACAAUGUACUUAAUAACAUUAAUAUAUGCUAAAUAAACCAAUUCUAAUGCAUGAAAAUAGAUUUCCCAUUAUUUUUUCCAAAAAGUCAAAAUCGACCCCGGGCCCGCUUGGUCAAAACCCGAAGUUCGAACCAAAACCCGAUCACCCAUUCACUCACGAACUCAAAUAUACAAUUCGUUUUGAAAUCAGAUCUCAAAUUGAGGUCCAACUCCCCAAAAUUUGAAAAUCCUAACUUCUACCCAAAAACACCCAAAUUCCCAUGAAAAAUCCUAGAUUUUGAAGUGAAAUCAUGCAAAAAGAUGUUAUAGAUUGAAGAAAAUAAGUUAGAAACCACUUACUCAUGAUUUGGAAAAGAACUCUCUUCAAUAAAAUCGCAUAUUUAAGUUUGAAAAAGCUGAAAAAUGAGGAAGAAUCCCGUCAAAAUCCCACUUAAUAGGUCGCAGAUGUCGCAAUUGCGAACCCUUUGAAAACCUGUUGACUUCGUAUUUACGAACGGUACGUCGCAUUUGCGAUAAGGGGGCUUCGCAAUUCCUAGCCCAAUAUUCGCAUUUGCGAUAAGGGCCUGCCCAGGCUUGGUUCGCAAUUGUGACCCUUUGGUCGCAUUUCCCAAGCCUGAGAACUUCGCAAAUGUGAAGCCUUAUCUCGCAAUUGCGAGAUCAGAGGCCUGAGCAAAAAUACCAGAUACCAGCUGCAAUUUUUCCUAGUCCAUUUCACCCCGUACCCUAUCAAAAACCCAUCCGAGCCCUCGGAGCUCCAAACCAAAAAUGCAUGCAAGUCUAAAAACAUCAUACGGACUUGCUCGUGCGAUCAAAUCAUUAAAAUAAUAUCAAUAACUACAAAUUUAGCAUCAAAUUCAUGAAAUUACUUAAGAACAUCAAAAUUUCCAUUUUCUCAACUAUAUGUCCGAUUUAUACCAAACCAAUUUCGAUUCUUACCAAAUUUCACAGAUUCAACGUAAUUAUUAUUUUAAACUUUUACCGGACUCCGAAACCAAGAUACGGACCCGAUACAAUCAAGAAAAUGCAUCAUUUUACUUCUAAAAGCCUUUAUAUUUUUCAGCAAAUAAUUUUCUUUAAAAAUUCUUUUCUCGGGCUUAGGACCUCGGAAUUCGAUUCCGGGCAUAUUCCCAAGUCCCAUAUUUUACUAUGGACCCUACGGGACCGUCAGAUCACGGGUCCGGGUUUGUUUACCAAGAAUAUUGACCAAAGUCAACUUUAAUCGAUUUUAAAGGCCAAUUUCAUUAUUUUUCUUAAAUUUCACGUAAAAGCUUUUCGGAACCCAAACUAUGCACGCAAAUCAAGGUGAGACAAAAAGAGGGUUUUAAGGCCUCGAAACACAGUUUAGACUUCUAAAGCAAGAGAUGACCUUUAGGGUCAUCACAUAAAUGCAUCGAAUCAAAAUGUUUUAUUCCAAGAAACAACAGCAAACCCUUCAACCAUUUAUCACAGGCUGCAGCAGUCAUGGAUCGAUAUUCAGCUUCAGCAGAGGAACGGGAAAUUGUGUGUUGUUCUUUUGAUUUUUCAGGAGAUGGGAGAAUUAACCAUACAAAUAAAAUAACCUAUCAAGGAGCAUCGCGUCAAGAGACAACUUGCCUAAUCCGAGUCACAAUAAGCAUAUAAACGGAGAUCUAAAUUUACUUGGUAAUGAACAUUGGCAUACCAUAACAAGAGUUAUGAGGAUAUUUACUUGGUACAAAAAUCUAUGGCUUGUUUAAUAAAAAAAAUUGGUGUACUCAAAGACUUUUCUGAUGCAGAUUGGAACACUUUAUCUGGUGAUUCAUGUCCUACUACAAGUUAUAUUCUCUAUGAGAGGUGAUGCUAUUUGUUGGAAAUUAAAAAAAUAAAUACUAAUUGCUAACUCUACCAUGGAGGCUGAGCUAAUUGUUUUAGCUUCAGCUAGUGAGGAAUCGAAUUGAUUGAGAGAUUUAUUAUUUCAAAUUCCUUAUUUUGGAAAACCAAUUUCUCCUAUUUUAAUUCAUUGUGAUAGCAUCGUUGCAAUUGGUAGAGUACAAAAUCGAUAUUAUAACGAUAAAUUCAUACCUAUAAGGACAAAACAUAGUGCUAUGAGAACAUAUUUGACAAGUGGUACUACUAAUGUUGAUUAUGUUAAAUCAUGUGAUAAUCUUGUAGAUCCACUGAAUAAGGCCUUAGUAAGAGAAAGGGUCUGGAGUACAUUGAGGUGGAUGGGAUUGAAGCCCAUAAACUCGUAAGUCAUAUAUGAAAAAACUCAAUUUGGGGACUAGAGAUCCUAUAACCAGAUUCAAUGGGAAGAACGAAUCAUAUGAUGGCUUGGUUUGAAAUGCACUAUUAUAUUUGUUAUUGUUCCAUCUAUGUUAUGAGUGUAUUUAUCCCAUAAUAAUUUGCGAGAUUGAGUUUUAUUAACUCUUAAUGAAAAUCUAUAGCUUGUAUGAGUGGGGUGUUAGAGGUACAGGAGCACCACUUGAUAGAUUUCACCUAUGUGAGUGUGGAAACAGUCCGCUUCCUAUGAGAAUUGGGCUUAUUCUAAAAAAUACUCAUGAAAAUCGGGAUAGUACAAGACCAUAAUGUGCUGGCUAAUAAAGCUCAUGUCAACAUCUUGAUUAUUAUAUGUAAACAAUGAUACUUUAUUUUCCUAAAACAGUCAUAGUUCAAGUUUGAGACUACUACUGACUCUGGGGUAGAGAUCGUUGUUUUACUAAGUGGAGGUUCAAUGCAUAGCCCAUCUUCAUUAUGCAUAAUAGUCUCCCUUUAACUAGCAAACUCUCUUAUUUUAAUAUUAAAAUGAGUGAGGCAAUAUUGGUGUUAGUGCAUUUUUAUAUUAAAAAUAUAAUAGUGCAUUAUUUCUUUUGAGAUAGUGAUUGUAAUUGGCAAGAAAAUGGUCAUUACUUUGGUGUAACUCAUGAAACGACUAAUGCCAUGAUCUAUCACUUAUUACCCACUAAAACUUAUAUUUUGUAACCACCAACCCAUGUUCUAUAAUUUUACUAUCCCACUACCUUAUUAUUUAUUUCAUGGAAGAGAUUCUACACCUAUAAAUAGUAGUAUUUCUUCCUUGUGUUUGUAAUGAGAAAAUUUGGUAGUGUGUAUGAGUGAACUUGCUGUAGUGAAAAAGAGAGUUAAGAGAAGGAGAAAAUCUAAGUCUCCAACUUAUUCUCGAUAAAAGGGAAUAUUAUUUCUAUUGUAGGAACGUGUUCAUAUUGGUGGAGCUUUGGACUCAACAACUUGUUCAGAGUUUGUUCGAGUCAAACAACAUUGUCGGGCUGUUGUAUUCUGAAGAGGACAAGUCAAGAGUAUUAUUGCUGGACCGGUGAAGAUGUUACCGCAGUGGGCUUGAAUCUCCUUUAAGAGAGCGAGAUAUUCACGCUUUAGCCUGAAGAAUAUUUAUUUAUUUUUAUUCAUCUUAUUUUUCAACUGCAAUUACUUGUAAUUUUACCAACAAAUCAAUAAAUACAAAAUACUACUAUUUUAUUUGCCGUGAAUGCAAAAUACUACUACACCAUUAUUUAGUUUUGAUGAUGGUGCUAACUUAGUACAAAUAUAAAAGUUUUCAACUUUAUCAUCUUGAAUCAAAGACCGUGAGUGUCUAGCACACACCCACUCCCUAAAUAAUAAGUAUAUCGAGAUUCGUAGAGGUGGAUCCAGGAUUUAAAGUUAAUAACUUAUAUAUUGAAGCUUAUGGAUUAUGGAGUUUAUUGUAAUUAUUUGUCCACAUUCAGUGGAUUUUUUUAACUAAUACAUAGGGUUCAGAUCGAAGUUACUGAUAUGUUUCAUGCUAGCUCUGUCCCGACUGUCGUCCGUGUCCAAAAUCAUAGCCGGUGGUGAUGACGAGUUCUGAAGGAGACACGAACUCACACAAUGGAUACUAUCAAUCGCACAAUCCUGAGAGCAUUUAUCUGUCGCAAAUCUGCAUCUAACAACACAAGCGAUUGUUUUUUUGCUACAAGCAACCACACAUGGCCCUGUAAUUGAUUUACCUUGAGCAUGGUGGAUUUUGGUAGAUGCAAAAAUAAGCAAAAGCAAAGCUAAAACAUGAAUUGGUGAAGUUGUUGCAAGAAAAGCCAUAUUGGAAUUAGUGGGUCCAAAAUCCGUUGCCUUAUCACUUGAUGCUUCUAUGAUGAUAUAAUAUCUUUUCAAGAAAAUGAUACGAAAACAUAAACUUGACGUGACAUUAUAUAGGGAG